rnacentral:tRNA from 1 species
CGGGGUGUGGCGCAGUUUGGUAGCGCGCUUCGUUCGGGACGAAGAGGUCGCAGGUUCAAAUCCUGUCACCCCGACCAUCC